rnacentral:tRNA from 1 species
GGCGUAGCUCAGUUGGUAGAGCAGCUGAUUUGUAAUCAGCAGGUCGUAAGUUCAAGCCUUAUCG